rnacentral:rRNA from 1 species
AUUGAACGCUGGCGGCAUGCCUUACACAUGCAAGUCGAACGGUAACAGGUCUUCGGAUGCUGACGAGUGGCGAACGGGUGAGUAAUACAUCGGAACGUGCCUAGUAGUGGGGGAUAACUACUCGAAAGAGUGGCUAAUACCGCAUCAGAUCUACGGAUGAAAGCAGGGGAUCGCAAGACCUUGUGCUACUAGAGCGGCCGAUGGCAGAUUAGGUAGUUGGUGGGAUAAAAGCUUACCAAGCCGACGAUCUGUAGCUGGUCUGAGAGGACGAUCAGCCACACUGGGACUGAGACACGGCCCAGACUCCUACGGGAGGCAGCAGUGGGGAAUUUUGGACAAUGGCGCAAGCCUGAUCCAGCAAUGCCGCGUGCAGGAUGAAGGCCUUCGGGUUGUAAACUGCUUUUGUACGGAACGAAAAGCCCCGGGUUAAUACCCUGGGGUCAUGACGGUACCGUAAGAAUAAGCACCGGCUAACUACGUGCCAGCAGCCGCCGUAA